GAUCAAUCAGGGUUUAACCAAUCUUUAAUCCAUUUAAGAGUUGGACAAAAAAGUAGUAGACAGAGUUUAUCCAAAAUAAAUUUCCUCUAAAUCAAGUAAAAAGACUACCUUCAACAAUCACGAAUAGGACUUCUAUGAUCUAGAUUUUGUUUUCAUGGAUUGAUCGAAAACUUUUAAACCUGGAUAA